UUUCCCUUCGGGGACAAAGUGACAGGUGGUGCAUGGUUGUCGUCAGCUCGUGUCGUGAGAUGUUGGGUUAAGUCCCGCAACGAGCGCAACCCUUAUUGUUAGUUGCCAUCAUUCAGUUGGGCACUCUAGCGAGACUGCCGCAGACAAUGCGGAGGAAGGUGGGGAUGACGUCAAAUCAUCAUGCCCCUUAUGACCUGGGCUACACACGUGCUACAAUGGAGAGUACAACGAGUCGCAAAGCCGCGAGGCUAAGCCAAUCUCUUAAAGCUCUUCUCAGUUCGGAUUGUAGGCUGCAACUCGCCUACAUGAAGCCGGAAUCGCUAGUAAUCGCGGAUCAGCACGCCGCGGUGAAUACGUUCCCGGGUCUUGUACACACCGCCCGUCACACCACGAGAGUUUGUAACACCCAAAGCCGGUGCGGUAACCGCAAGGAGCCAGCCGUCUAAGGUGGGAUAGAUGAUUGGGGUGAAGUCGUAACAAGGUAGCCGUAUCGGAAGGUGCGGCUGGAUCACCUCCUUUCUAAGGAA
rnacentral:rRNA from 1 species